AUCCUGGGUCACAAAGCCAUACAGAGGACUUCAUAACAGUUGCCACUUCCAAGGAACACAUGACUGAGUAAAAGUUCAAAGUUGUCAGUUUUGUUCAAUCAAUCUCAUAUUUCACUGGGUAGCUCAGAAAAGCUCCCAAUCCUCCUGCAGAGAUAAGGAAGCCUGUAACACGCACUGCUAUGUGCUCAUGUGAGUGUUGUUUCGGGAAAACUGGCCAAAACAUCUGUUGAGAGUUGUUAGCAAAAGUCAGUUGGCCUGGAGUUCAGACGUCUUCAAAAAGGCCACAAAACCAAGCAAGGGAACCGGGUACCAGGUAUCAAGUACAUACUGAAAAGGGAGUAAAGUCACUUAUUCAGUAUGCUACCAACAGACAGGACCAGGAACUGUUGGUUCCGUGAAGCACAGCUGAGGAAAGAACUGCAUGAGUGCUGAGAAGUCAUGCCGCCUACACGGAGUACAUGAGGGCUCAAAGAAAAGAGGAAUGGGACUGAGAGGUCUAUAGCAGCCUGCAAAUGGGGGAGUCUCCACAAGUCUCAUGGAUGUCCUGAAAAAAGGAUGGAGACAGGUUUUCUCCUAGAACAUGGAAGAGCAGAGUGACAUUUUCUGAUUGGCCGCCACAAAGCACAGGAGAGUUGGAGGAUUUCUGCAGCCUGUCAUCAAAAGCUUUGUGUUUAAAGGUUGGAAGUCCAGAUAUUAAUGAGAGAGGUUUUCUACCCAGCCUAAAAGGAUAGCUGCUAGGAGGCUUCCCUCAGCUUCUAGAAGCCACUUGCUGUUCCUUGAUGACUACCUGUCUCCCUCCCAGAGCAUCUUCCAACCAGAAUCCCUUCUUUCUUAAGGCCAGAAAAGAUGUGCCUCGAUGUUUUUAAAGGCUCCUUGAUGAGGUCAGACCCAUCGAGUACUGAUUCAUUACCAGAUUAUGGAAGUAAUGUCCUAUCUUAUUCAUGGAUUCCACCCCCACUGAAGAGGGAAGGAUAAUAAAAGAAUCAAGCUGAGUUUGGAGGUCAGAGAGGAUAAAUAGGGGAGGUCAAGUUUGGGACCAAUGGAUCUCACCUAACAUCUUUCUCCACCAUUCCCUCUCAUACUAAGAAUUACUGAAUCAUAUUGGAUGAUAUGGUUGAGGUCAAACUGACAAGCCCAAGUGCCAGUGGACCUAUGAGGUACUCCCAAAAGGAGAAAAAGAUGGGAACGAUGACCCGAGUCUAUAUGAAAGUUUAAAGACUUCUGGGAAAGGAGACGUUUAUGGCUCAGUAAUUGGCUCAGCUAUAAUAUGAUUUCACUGGGAACAAUGACUAAGUGAAAUAUAAGAGUGAGACCAAGGAAGUGAUCACAAUCUAGCUGGUAUAGACCCAGCCAUGUGCAUCUCGAAGGUAUUUGAGAGUCUUUCACAGCUAAGCAGACAAUGGCCUAGCUACCCUUACUCUGGAGACGCAAUUCAACAGCAGUGUUAGGAAGACAUUGAUAGUGGAAAACCAGAGGCUUUAGGAAGCUUAGUCAUCAGCUAAGUAAGAUGGCCUAAAAUAGGACAGAGAAGUUGGACCAGAGGUUAUGAACAUACCACAUGGAUUUGUGUCCCUAACAUCAACAGCUUUUCCUGACUGAUGAGUGCCAGUGUCUCUACCAUCAUUAAGACCUUCGCCAUCCCUCCACCAGACCAUAUCAACAGCCUGCUGCAUUCCUGAGAAAUGAGAGUUUUGCUAAUAAAAGAUUCAAACUUCUUGAUCUAACAUACAAGGCUCUUUGUGGCCUGGCCUUGCUUGCCCUUACCAGCUUCAAUUCUGCCUUUAUCCACCACAAAAUUACUAAGUCUUACUAAUCCUUGAACAGAAGAAGGCAUUGAACAUAUCCUCUCAGCAUAAAAAUUUGCCAGAACAAUCCCUCCUCAUCCCUCACGACCCCCAACUCAAGUGCCUUUACCUUCACUCCAUAACACUGUAGGAAGCAGGGUAACUAGUCCCAAAGACUUCUUAGAAACUGUGAAUGUUGCCUGUCAAGGGUCAAGGGAAUUCUGAGUUCCCAUGACUGGGUUACAGAUCUAGAUGACUUAUUUUAUUUGAAUGAUGAUACAAAUGUAAGUAAGUAGUUGUUGAUUAUUUGAGAAAACUGAGCUUUGCAGGCGAAGGCUAAGCCAGGACUCAGCUAUAAUGCUAGCUUGGGGUUUAAAGUCCAUUGUUUUUCCACUUUGCCAAAACUAAUGGGACUCAUGUGCAUGCUGACAGCUACAUUUUGGUUCCUUAUUUUGCACUAUGCCAUUCUAAAUCAUUUUGUUGACACUGAUAAUACCUAACAAGGCAAGCAUAUCUUACUCUUCAUUCCAUUUCCUUUCCCUAAGAAAUAGCAGAAGUCAUAGGUCAAAAGGGAAUGAGGUGAAAGUUUACUGAGUAACCAAGAUGUAGUUUCCCUAGGUAACCUACUAAUUGAGAAAACCAGGUCAAGACACCUUUUAGCUUUAAUUUAAAGAGCUUCAAAUUAAGCAUUAGGACAAAUCCAAUCAAAUCAUCCAGAAUCGAGUGAUGGAUGCACGGUAUGAGCAGGAACUGCUGGUGUGGUGGUUUCCUUUGGGAUGCCAGACAAAUUUGAUCACAUUUCUUUCAUCUCCAAUCCAAAUGACCUUGGACAAGUCCCUUACCUGUGACAGACUAGUUUGUUCUUUUUGAAAUCACUAAUGGCAUUCACCUGAACGGUUGUGCUGAGAAUUACAUAAGCAAUGGGUUCUUUUGUUUCUGGCCUGACAUGGAAGGGCUUGGAAACCACCACUCAAUAUCAAGAACAAGGAAAAAAACUGAACAAGCUUUAAAAACUGAUGAUUCUUAGAUUCAUCAGAAAAAUGAGCUCAUGAGGCAAAUGGCUGUCCUUAAAAUUGGAAAGACAAGCAAAUUCAGAAGAUUGCAAUUUAGGAGAACAGACCGCAUACAAACAGAAGCUUCCCUGAGAACAGUCACUGGGGAGGGGAGUCAGCAUCACAACUCAGUUUCUAGGGGAGCAAUGUAGGAACGAACGCCUCUGAGAGGAGCAACCCUAGAGGACCCUGCCUGUAGUGAACUUUUCUCUAAGAAGCUGACCAGAAUGCCCUGCUGACGAGCAGAGGAAAAGUAAAUCCUCUUUUGAUUUACUUUUAAAUCAAAAUGCUAGAGUUAAAUGCUAGAAUUUGAGUAGCAUUCUGGGACCAGGGGGAUGGGAAUACCCAGCCCUAUCCUUGCCCCACCCACAUGAAUCAUUUAAGGAGAGUAAAACUAGAGAUGCACCGGUGUGCUUCAUAGUCCAAGAGCACAGGAUCACUAAAAGACCCAGUAAGACAACCAUAGUCUGUAGAAUGCUUCCUUUGCCCCACACCCUUAACCAAUACUAGAUACUGAAGGCUUAUUGUAGGAGUGUGUGUGUGUGUGUGUGUGUGUGUGUGUGUGUGUGUGUGGUAUGUGCUCUAUGUGUGUGGUUUA